ACUCUGCUCUUCCAAACAGCGAAUCAUGUGGCUGCAACCGAAUACAUGCAGCAUGCAGACGGGAUCGAGAGGUUGACUUACUGGUCGACUCAGCAUCAGCGCGGCUAGGACUCCUGAGCUAAGCACUGCCCAACAUGGGGUGAUGGGGGGAGCUGCAUGUGGGGGGUCCCGCGUCGGAGAAGCAGCCACCCUCCCGGGAUUUUCAUUCAGUGCCUAGAGUUUACAGAGAUCCGUGUGCAGAUCAAACGAAACGUACAUUCAGUGGCAUUUCCGGGGCCGAAAGCACUUUGUUUACGGGACGCCGUGAGUGCAAGCAAACAGCAGAGUACAACAGUGUGGGGCAGAAUGACUCCCUCCAAAGACACAGCUCAUGUGAAGCGGAUCUGGAGACAAAACUGAAUCCUACCCGGAGCCCAACGGACCUAAUAAAGUGGCCAAAACUGUGCAAACACUUGCAAGUUUUAGAUAUUGCAGAACCUUAUUCAACUGCUGCUCCAAUUACUUAUAUAAUCAUCCAAUAUAUGAUAUUUGAAACAUUCUUUGAUUGUUUACAAACACUACCGCCAAGAUUUGUGUAGUAAUUUUAAAAGCAUAAUGCCAAAAAUGCUAAAUGUUUCCACGAUUUUGCCCGCUGGUGUAAUAAAGUGCUCACUGGCAGGCCUGUCUAACAGCUCAUGCGCAGAUGGACGGAGUGUCUUCUCAGCGCUGGAGCCGGACUGCAGUGGCUUCACUCAGGCGGAGGAAGUGAAGUGAGAAGCGUGCAGGUGUGUGGCAGUUAGGACUGCAGCUGCCAUCCGUGUUUGUCAUUCAGCUCAUUAUAGUCCACGCUCAAUGUGUGCUGCUCUUCGCCGUCUGCCUAUUUUACGGUCAGCAAGGCAGCCUAAUGAAGCGUGUGUCAGGCAGCUUCUGCAGAGCAACACUCACGUUGAGUCCUGAGUCCCGGAGGAGCCGCCAGGCAGCUUGUUGAGUUCGCUCCCUUCGUCUGUCUCUGUAGGCUUUUCCCGCCAGAUACCUCACUGAGGCUGAUACCAAAGAUCUUCUCAGCACUGGGGACCAAGACGGAGACAGCAAGAUAGGAACGGAAGAGUUUUCCUCAUUAAUGAAAGGAAGUGAGGAAGUCUGAGUACUGGUCCUUGGGCCUCGACAAUUUGGUGAAACUUAUGCAGCAAAAACUAAUACAAAAUAAAAUUAUGAAUCUUUAAAUAAA